rnacentral:rRNA from 1 species
UACGUAGGGAGCAAGCGUUGUCCGGAAUCAUUGGGCGUAAAGCGCGCGUAGGUGGCUCUAUAAGUCCGUUGUGAAAGUCAAAGGCUCAACCUUUGAAAGCCGAUGGAUACUGUAGAGCUAGAGUCCGGAAGAGGCGAGUGGAAUUCAUGGUGUAGCGGUGGAAUGCGCAGAUAUCAGGAGGAACACCGGUGGCGAAGGCGGAUCUCUGGGACGGUACUGACGCUGAGACGCGAAAGCGUGGGGAGCGAACAGG